CAAAAUAUAGUGUAUAGUCCAAUUAUACAGACCCGAAACAUAAAGAAUGCAGAAAUGUAAACCUACUCUAGUCUAGGAUAAUCCUAACUACACUCCAUUGCUUUCUCCACCCGAUGUUCCGGGCCUUGAUCGUACGCCGUCUUCAAGUACAUGAUACUUUGGGGCAUUCCCCGGAUAAAUCAAUACAAAUCCCAUGGGGCAUUCCCUGGCCAAAUGAAUACAAUAGAUCCCAAUGCAUAAAUCAAAACCACUCCACAGACAUUUCAUCAUUAAACAAUCACUGAUCUAAAUUUUCCUACCCGAACCUACUGUUGCCUACCCUGCUCGACCUAUCAAUCAACGACAUCAAUGAAUCAAAACAACAAUAUUCACUUUAUCAACUUUCAAUUCUCAUCCCACUUAUUUCUAUUUGAGUUUAAAUCAUUCAAUUCAAACAAUCAAUAUGAUGAUCCAAACAUAUCAAAAUCAACAAAAAUAAAAGCCACACACCAUGAAUUCAACACAUAAAGCAUCAAAUGAUUAAGAUUAAUCGAGAAGGAGAUGAGAAAUAGACCUCAACUAUCUUCCAAACAAUUAGCGACAGAUCGAAGCUCACGAACCAAUGAAACUCUACCAACCUCAAGAUCAACUCGUCAACUCGAUUUAAGAAAUUGCUAUCUAAAAUAAGACAGACGAACCAACGAAUAACGAUGCCCAAAUCUAAUACAGAUACAAAAAUGAUGCGGUUUAUGAGUUUUUUUUUAGAUGGUGAUGUCGUUUUCACCUAACCGGAGCUCUGGCGAGUUCAAAAGGAAUGGAAAACGAAGAAAACACUCAGAUUCCGGCUGACGGUAACUUUUCCCGAUGAGAAAUCGCCGAAAAACCCCAAAAUCAACCGGAUUUGCACUGUUUUUGUUCAAAACCUCGAUUUCUAUCUGUUUUUCUCCUCAAGCUCACUGAUUUCGUCCCCAAUAUCUCUAUUUUUCUCUAUUUUCCUCAUUUUUUUGAUUUCGAUCUCUCCCUCUUCGUUGUUCUCUGCUUCCUCUUUCAUCUCUCUCUCCGUCUCUCACUAUGUGGUUGUGUGUAUUGAAUAUAUGGGUGUCUAUGUGUUGAAUCAAAAGAAAAGAAAAAUCUCCAUUCCUGUAUUCUCUGUGUAUAUGUUGAAUUGGGAUCCUUUACUUUAUGGUCACUACGAUGUGCGUGAAUUCUUGUAGGUGUGUUAUUGUGAGAUUGUAUAUGGGUAUUGUGAAAAAUGGAAAUGGUCCAGUGGUGUGUGAUUUCUAUUCACUGUGUGUAAAUUUGAGUGAGGGUAAGUCAAUUUGUUUUGCUGUGGGGGCCCGGAGUGUAUGUGAGGUGU
rnacentral:lncRNA from 1 species